AGCGUAGGCGGACUUUUAAGUGAGAUGUAAAAUACCCGGGCUCAACUUGGGUGCUGCAUUUCAAACUGGAAGUCUAGAGUGCAGGAGAGGAGAAUGGAAUUCCUAGUGUAGCGGUGAAAUGCGUAGAGAUUAGGAAGAACACCAGUGGCGAAGGCGAUUCUCUGGACUGUAACUGACGCUGAGGCUCGAAAGCGUGGGAGCAAACA
rnacentral:rRNA from 1 species